GACGAACGCUGGCGGCGUGCCUAAUACAUGCAAGUAGAACGCACAGUUUAUACCGUAGCUUGCUACACCAUAAACUGUGAGUUGCGAACGGGUGAGUAACGCGUAGGUAACCUGCCUGGUAGCGGGGGAUAACUAUUGGAAACGAUAGCUAAUACCGCAUAAUAUUGAUUAUUGCAUGAUAAUUGAUUGAAAGAUGCUAUUGCAUCACUACCAGAUGGACCUGCGUUGUAUUAGCUAGUAGGUGAGGUAACGGCUCACCUAGGCGACGAUACAUAGCCGACCUGAGAGGGUGAUCGGCCACACUGGGACUGAGACACGGCCCAGACUCCUACGGGAGGCAGCAGUAGGGAAUCUUCGGCAAUGGACGAAAGUCUGACCGAGCAACGCCGCGUGAGUGAAGAAGGUUUUCGGAUCGUAAAGCUCUGUUGUAAGAGAAGAAUGGGUGUGAGAGUGGAAAGUUCACACUGUGACGGUAUCUUACCAGAAAGGGACGGCUAACUACGUG
rnacentral:rRNA from 1 species